UUCUUUACAAACAAUGAGACCGUUUGGACUUAAUAAUGAAUUGUCUUUGUAUUGUUUUUAAUAAGGUUUUGUAAUUUUUGCAAUAUAAGGUGAGUGUUCCCUUUAAGAAUAUCUUUUUGUGAAAGUGGGAGGUUGUUAUAAGCGAGUGUGGAAAUUAUGUCAUGGCGCGCUAGAGAAGAUACAGCCGCCAUUGUCCGGGUACCGAUGAUUAUGCAAGUUAUUGGCAGCGUUAUAAACCUCACAGCGGAAAGCCUAGCCACGCCCCUGAAGAAGACAAGGAACGAAAUCUGAGCUUUUCAGCCAGCCCCAGAAACGGGAUAGCUAUGCUCCUUGUUUCUGCCAUCAUGAGGGAAAAGAUUUAAAAGAAGACACAGGACACAUUUACUUUGGACUUUUUCCUGGACUUUAUUUUGACAUUUGUUCAUCCGGAAUAUGACUUACUUGCUAUAAAAGAACUGGAUUUUGCCCCUGAGGAAGCACGGCGUGAGAGCAUCACGUGCGAAAUGGAGGUGGCCGAUUGUCCGUAGGGCAGGAACAUCAUUUGUAGACAGCACGGACAGAAGUCUUGGCUUUUGUUUUUUGCUAUUUGCACAGCACCUCUUGCGCUUUAGUGCUUAUGUUUAC